rnacentral:rRNA from 1 species
GACAGAGGGGGCAAGCGUUGCUCGGAAUUACUGGGCGUAAAGGGCGCGUAGGCGGGAUGGCAAGUCGGUCGUGAAAUCCUUCGGCUCAACCGAAGAACGUCGAUCGAUACUGCUGUUCUUGAGGGUUGCAGAGGAGACUGGAAUUCCCGGUGUAGCGGUGAAAUGUGUAGAGAUCGGGAGGAACACCGGUGGCGAAGGCGGGUCUCUGGGCAAUUCCUGACGCUGAGGCACGAAGGUCAGGGGAGCAAACGGG